rnacentral:rRNA from 1 species
AGUGAACGCUGGCGGUAGGCCUAACACAUGCAAGUCGAACGGCAGCACAGUAAGAGCUUGCUCUUACGGGUGGCGAGUGGCGGACGGGUGAGGAAUACAUCGGAAUCUACUUUUUCGUGGGGGAUAACGUAGGGAAACUUACGCUAAUACCGCAUACGACCUACGGGUGAAAGCAGGGGAUCUUCGGACCUUGCGCGAUUGAAUGAGCCGAUGUCGGAUUAGCUAGUUGGCGGGGUAAAGGCCCACCAAGGCGACGAUCCGUAGCUGGUCUGAGAGGAUGAUCAGCCACACUGGAACGGAGACACGGUCCAGACUCCUACGGGAGGCAGCAGUGGGGAAUAUUGGACAAUGGGCGCAAGCCUGAUCCAGCCAUACCUCGUGGGUGAAGAAGGCCUUCGGGUUGUAAAGCCCUUUUGUUGGGAAAGAAAAGCAGCAGGUUAAUACCCCGCUGUUCUGACGGUACCCAAAGAAUAAGCACCGGCUAACUUCGUG